UAAGGAAUAUUGGUCAAUGGACGCAAGUCUGAACCAGCCAUGCCGCGUGAAGGAAGACGGCCCUACGGGUUGUAAACUUCUUUUGUACGGGAAAAACCACCGGUCGAGCAUCGGUGCUGAUGGUACCGUAAGAAUAAGCAUCGGCUAACUCCGUGCCAGCAGCCGCGGUAAUACGGAGGAUGCACGCGUUAUCCGGAUUCAUUGGGUUUAAAGGGUGCGCAGGCGGAAUGAUAAGUCAGUGGUGAAAUCCUACGGCUCAACUGUAGAACUGCCAUUGAUACGGGUGUUCGUGAGUACACUUGGAGUGGGCGGAAUGUGUCAUGUAGCGGUGAAAUGCUUAGAUAUGACACAGAACACCGAUCGCGAAGGCAGCUCACUAAAUUGUAACUGACGCUCAUGCACGAAAGCGUGGGGAUCAAACA
rnacentral:rRNA from 1 species